AUUGAACGCUGGCGGCAGGCCUAACACAUGCAAGUCGAGCGGAUGAAGGGAGCUUGCUCCUGGAUUCAGCGGCGGACGGGUGAGUAAUGCCUAGGAAUCUGCCUGGUAGUGGGGGAUAACGUCCGGAAACGGGCGCUAAUACCGCAUACGUCCUUAGGGAGAAAGUGGGGGAUCUUCGGACCUCACGCUAUCAGAUGAGCCUAGGUCGGAUUAGCUAGUUGGUGGGGUAAAGGCCUACCAAGGCGACGAUCCGUAACUGGUCUGAGAGGAUGAUCCGUCACACUGGAACUGAGACACGGUCCAGACUCCUACGGGAGGCAGCAGUGGGGAAUAUUGGACAAUGGGCGAAAGCCUGAUCCAGCCAUGCCGCGUGUGUGAAGAAGGUCUUCGGAUUGUAAAGCACUUUAAGUUGGGAGGAAGGGCAGUAAGUUAAUACCUUGCUGUUUUGACGUUACCAACAGAAUAAGCACCGGCUAACUUCGUG
rnacentral:rRNA from 1 species